AUGUCCGCCGCGGGAGACCGCUCUCCCCCGCGAGAGGAAGGCCGCGCUUCGAUUCGCGCCCGGGCUCUCCCCAGCGGGCCGCCGGCCGGGAGGCUCAUCGACGACAUCCUCGUGGAGAUCCUCUCGCGCGUCCCGGCCAAGGAACUCUGCCGCUGCAAGAGCGUCUCGAAGCACUGGUUCGGCCUCAUCCACCACCCCGACCACCGCAAGCGGCUCCCCCAAACCCUGGCCGGCUUCUUCUACGGCAGCAGCGCCGGCACCACCGCGCAGCGGCUCCUGGAGCUGCCCUUCCGCUUCACCAGCGUCUCGGGGGACCGCUGCCCUCCGUUCGGCGCCUCCCUCACCUUCCUGCCCAACCACCACCUGCCCGUCGAUCUGCUGGACUCCUGCAACGGCCUCCUCCUCUGCCGAUGUUACCACGUCUCCGACGGGGUUGGCGCGUUCCAUUACGUCGUGUGCAAUCCCGCCACCCAGAAGUGGGUCGUGUUGCCCAGCUCCUGCAAGGACAGCAGCGAGGUGGCCACCACAUCUCUGGGCUUCGACCCGGCUCUAUCGUCGCAUUUCCAUGUGUUUGAGCUGGUAGUUGAGCAGAAUUAUACUCAGGACACUGAGCUUUGCGGAGUGGCGGUGUAUUCGUCUGAAACCGGAGAAUGGAUUUAUAAGGAGAAGAGAUGGAACAGAGCUAGUCGGCACUCCGCAACAGUCUUUCUCGACGGCCUUCUGUUUUUUCGUGUCCUUGACCUUGAAUAUCACGACUGUGUGGCUGCGGUGGACACAAAGGGAGAAACAUGGAUGAAAUUCAGGGUCCCUGGUGGUCAGGUUGAUGAUUUUGGUCUGGCUGAUGGUUUUGUUCAGCAGAUGUUAUUCAGGGUUCCUGGUGGUCCGGCUGAUGAUUUUGGUCUGGCUCAUGGUUUUAUUCAGCAGUCGCAGGGCUGCUUGCAUUUUGCCAAUUUUCAGAGGGAUGAACAUGGUGUUGGCAUUCGAUUGGUGGUUUAUGUUCUGAAAAACUAUGAAAGCGAAGAAUGGAUAGUGAAGCAUAGCAUUAAAACUUCAGACAUAUGUGGAUGGACAGAUUUAUGGCUUGAUGCGGAUUUUGAUUUCAUUGCGAUUCAUCCAGAAUGCAACUCGUUGUUCUUCAUUGCGGGGGGUGUCACAUUAAUGUGCUAUAAUAUGGAUAAUCGGCAGGUCAAAGUGAUCUCCUAUCUUGGAGGUGCCAAGCCGCUAUUUCUGCCCUAUGUGCCGUUGUACACAGAGUCACUAUCACUGCACUGCUAA
rnacentral:rRNA from 1 species